UACGGAGGAUCCAAGCGUUAUCCGGAUUUAUUGGGUUUAAAGGGUGCGUAGGCGGCUUAUUAAGUCAGGGGUGAAAGACGGUGGCUCAACCAUCGCAGUGCCCUUGAUACUGAUGAGCUUGAAUACACUAGAGGUAGGCGGAAUGUGACAAGUAGCGGUGAAAUGCAUAGAUAUGUCGCAGAACACCGAUUGCGAAGGCAGCUUACUAUGGUGUCAUUGACGCUGAGGCACGAAAGCGUGGGGAUCAAACAGG
rnacentral:rRNA from 1 species